rnacentral:rRNA from 1 species
AGAGUUUGAUCCUGGCUCAGGAUGAACGCUGGCGGCGUGCCUAAUACAUGCAAGUCGAGCGAACGGACGAGAAGCUUGCUUCUCUGAUGUUAGCGGCGGACGGGUGAGUAACACGUGGAUAACCUACCUAUAAGACUGGGAUAACUUCGGGAAACCGGAGCUAAUACCGGAUAAUAUUUUGAACCGCAUGGUUCAAAAGUGAAAGACGGUCUUGCUGUCACUUAUAGAUGGAUCCGCGCUGCAUUAGCUAGUUGGUAAGGUAACGGCUUACCAAGGCAACGAUGCAUAGCCGACCUGAGAGGGUGAUCGGCCACACUGGAACUGAGACACGGUCCAGACUCCUACGGGAGGCAGCAGUAGGGAAUCUUCCGCAAUGGGCGAAAGCCUGACGGAGCAACGCCGCGUGAGUGAUGAAGGUCUUCGGAUCGUAAAACUCUGUUAUUAGGGAAGAACAUAUGUGUAAGUAACUGUGCACAUCUUGACGGUACCUAAUCAGAAAGCCACGGCUAACUACGUGCCAGCAGCCGCGGUAAUACGUAGGUGGCAAGCGUUAUCCGGAAUUAUUGGGCGUAAAGCGCGCGUAGGCAUUGGAAACUGGAAAACUUGAGUGCAGAAGAGGAAAGUGGAAUUCCAUGUGUAGCGGUGAAAUGCGCAGAGAUAUGGAGGAACACCAGUGGCGAAGGCGACUUUCUGGUCUGUAACUGACGCUGAUGUGCGAAAGCGUGGGGAUCAAACAGGAUUAGAUACCCUGGUAGUCCACGCCGUAAACGAUGAGUGCUAAGUGUUAGGGGGUUUCCGCCCCUUAGUGCUGCAGCUAACGCAUUAAGCACUCCGCCUGGGGAGUACGACCGCAAGGUUGAAACUCAAAGGAAUUGACGGGGACCCGCACAAGCGGUGGAGCAUGUGGUUUAAUUCGAAGCAACGCGAAGAACCUUACCAAAUCUUGACAUCCUUUGACAACUCUAGAGAUAGAGCYUUCCCCUUCGGGGGACAAAGUGACAGGUGGUGCAUGGUUGUCGUCAGCUCGUGUCGUGAGAUGUUGGGUUAAGUCCCGCAACGAGCGCAACCCUUAAGCUUAGUUGCCAUCAUUAAGUUGGGCACUCUAAGUUGACUGCCGGUGACAAACCGGAGGAAGGUGGGGAUGACGUCAAAUCAUCAUGCCCCUUAUGAUUUGGGCUACACACGUGCUACAAUGGACAAUACAAAGGGCAGCGAAACCGCGAGGUCAAGCAAAUCCCAUAAAGUUGUUCUCAGUUCGGAUUGUAGUCUGCAACUCGACUACAUGAAGCUGGAAUCGCUAGUAAUCGUAGAUCAGCAUGCUACGGUGAAUACGUUCCCGGGUCUUGUACACACCGCCCGUCACACCACGAGAGUUUGUAACACCCGAAGCCGGUGGAGUAACCUUUUAGGAGCUAGCCGUCGAAGGUGGGACAAAUGAUUGGGGUGAAGUCGUAACAAGGUAGCCGUAUCGGAAGGUGCGGCUG